CGGCGGACGGGUGAGUAAUGCCUAGGAAUCUGCCUGGUAGUGGGGGACAACGUUUCGAAAGGAACGCUAAUACCGCAUACGUCCUACGGGAGAAAGCAGGGGACCUUCGGGCCUUGCGCUAUCAGAUGAGCCUAGGUCGGAUUAGCUAGUUGGUGAGGUAAUGGCUCACCAAGGCGACGAUCCGUAACUGGUCUGAGAGGAUGAUCAGUCACACUGGAACUGAGACACGGUCCAGACUCCUACGGGAGGUAGCAGCU
rnacentral:rRNA from 1 species